UUUGGUGUGGGAUUUUUUCUUUUUUGCAAUAUAUUCAAUUUCAUUCCAUCAAUUCUUACAAAUUCUCUUUAAUGUAAUUGUCAUUUAUAGAUUAAUGUGCCCAUUCUUUUAAAUUCAAACUAUGUACCUAUCUAUUUAGUCACGUAUUAGAUAUGUAGGGUUUUUUUUUUUUGGGGCAUAUAUCACCAUAAUUUUCCGAUGAAAAAUUACUAAUCAAUACUUUUUAGGUAAAAAGAUUAAUUUGUAUGUGGC
rnacentral:lncRNA from 1 species